rnacentral:rRNA from 1 species
AGUGAACGCUGGCGGUAGGCCUAACACAUGCAAGUCGAACGGCAGCACAGUAAGAGCUUGCUCUUACGGGUGGCGAGUGGCGGACGGGUGAGGAAUACAUCGGAAUCUACUUUUUCGUGGGGGAUAACGUAGGGAAACUUACGCUAAUACCGCAUACGACCUACGGGUGAAAGCAGGGGAUCUUCGGACCUUGCGCGAUUGAAUGAGCCGAUGUCGGAUUAGCUAGUUGGCGGGGUAAAGGCCCACCAAGGCGGCGAUCCGUAGCUGGUCUGAGAGGAUGGUCGGCGACAUGAGAACGGAAACAGGCACAAUACGACUACGAGAGGCAGCAGUCGGGAAUAGGAGACAGUAGGCGGAAGUAUGAUCCAGCGAUAGCACGUGGGUGGAGGAGGCCUUGGGGUUGGAAAGCCGUUUUGUUGGGAGAGAAAAGCAGCAGGUUGAUACGCCGCGGUUGUGACGGUAACCAAAGAAUAAGCACCGGCUAACUUCGUG